rnacentral:rRNA from 1 species
UUCCGGUUGAUCCUGCCGGAGGCCAUUGCUAUUGGGAUCCGAUUUAGCCAUGCUAGUCGUACGAGUUCAGAACUCGUGGCGAAUAGCUCCAGUAACACGUGGCCAAACUACCCUUCGGAGCACAAUACCCUCGGGAAACUGAGGUCAAUAGUCCAUACCAUACCACCACUGGAAUGAGUGGUAUGCCAAACGCUCCGGCGCCGAAGGAUGUGGCUGCGGCCGAUUAGGUAGACGGUGGGGUAACGGCCCACCGUGCCAAUAAUCGGUACGGGUCAUGAGAGUGAGAACCCGGAGACGGAAUCUGAGACAAGAUUCCGGGCCCUACGGGGCGCAGCAGGCGCGAAACCUUUACACUGCACGCCAGUGCGAUAGGGGGAUCCCAAGUGCACAGGCAUAGUGCCUGUGCUUUUCGGUACCCUAUUGCUGGUACCAGAAUAAGGGCUGGGCAAGACCGGUGCCAGCCGCCGCGGUAAUACCGGCAGCCCGAGUGAUGGCCGAUUUUAUUGGGCCUAAAGCGUCCGUAGCUGGCCACGCAAGUCCAUCGGAAAAUCCACCCGCUCAACGGGUGGGCGACCGGUGGAAACUGCGUGGCUUGGGACCGGAAGGCGCGACGGGUACGUCCGGGGUAGGAGUGAAAUCCCGUAAUCCCGAACGGACCGCCGAUGGCGAAAGCACGUCGCGAAAACGGAUCCGACAGUGAGGGACGAAAGCCAGGGUCUCGAACCGGAUUAGAUACCCGGGUAGUCCUGGCCGUAAACAAUGUCUGCUAGGUGUGGCUCCCGCUACGAGCGGGUGCUGUGCCGCAGGGAAGCCGCUAAGCAGACCGCCUGGGAAGUACGUCCGCAAGGAUGAAACUUAAAGGAAUUGGCGGGGGAGCAC